rnacentral:rRNA from 1 species
UACGUAGGGGGCAAGCGUUGUCCGGAUUUAUUGGGCGUAAAGAGCGUGUAGGCGGUUAUACAGGUCCGCUGUGAAAACUGGAGGCUUGACCUCCAGACGUCGGUGGAAACCGUAUGACUAGAGUCCGGAAGAGGAGAGUGGAAUUCCUGGUGUAGCGGUGAAAUGCGUAGAUAUCUGGAGGAACACCGGUGGCGAAGGCGACAUCCUGGACCGGUAUUGACGCUGAGGCGCGAAAGCCAGGGGAGCAAACGGG